UGUGAAGCUAGACACACUCUACCUACAUCAGGGCCUGUGAACGGCUCUUCAGCAUCGCAGGACUCGUCUUCAGCCCCAGAAGAGCGAGACUGACAUCUGUCCAUUUUGAAAAUCAACUUCUUUUGAAGAUGAACAAUACAUUUUUCACUUUAAAGUGAUGAUUCUGGUUGUUACUUUUGGUUCUGCUUUUUUCUGUGUUAAUCGUGUUUUUAUAUUUUAGUAAUUUCAUAGUAUUCAUAUAUUGCUAAGUUCAUCCUAGCUCAUACUCCUUGUUCAUGGCGGCCACAGCACCCAAACAAAUAAACUUCAUAAUUCUCAAAAUUCUGA